UACGGAGGGGGCCAGCGUUGCUCGGAAUUAUUGGGCGUAAAGGGCGCGUAGGCGGCUUGGUAAGUUUGAUGUGAAAUCCCAUGGCUCAACCAUGGAACUGCAUCUCAUACUGCCGAGCUAGAGUCUGGGAGAGGGAAGCGGAAUUCCCGGUGUAGCGGUGAAAUGCGUAGAUAUCUGGAGGAACACCGGUGGCGAAGGCGGCAUCCUGGACCGGCAUUGACGCUGAGGCGCGAAAGCCAGGGGAGCAAACGGG
rnacentral:rRNA from 1 species